GACGAACGCUGGCGGCGUGCUUAACACAUGCAAGUCGAACGGUGAAGCGCCUUCCUUUUUGGUGGGUGUGGAUGAGUGGCGAACGGGUGAGUAACACGUGAGUAACCUGCCCCCUUCUUCUGGAUAACCGCAUGAAAGUGUGGCUAAUACGGGAUAUUCUGGGUCUGUCGCAUGAUGGGUCUGGGAAAGAUAUUGUUUCGGUGGGGGAUGGGCUCGCGGCCUAUCAGCUUGUUGGUGGGGUGAUGGCCUACCAAGGCGGUGACGGGUAGCCGGCCUGAGAGGGUGGACGGUCACACUGGGACUGAGACACGGCCCAGACUCCUACGGGAGGCAGCAGUGGGGAAGAGUGCACAAUGGGCGAAAGCCUGAUGCAGCGACGCCGCGUGAGGGAUGGGGGCCUUCGGGUUGUGAACCUCUUUCGCCAGUGAAGCAGGCCUGCCUCGUUUGUGGGUGGGUUGACGGUAGCUGGAUAAGAAGCGCCGGCUAACUACGUG
rnacentral:rRNA from 1 species